rnacentral:tRNA from 2 species
GGGCGCAUAGCUCAGUUGGGAGAGCACCUGCCUUACAAGCAGGGGGUCAUAGGUUCGAGCCCUAUUGCGCCCACCA